rnacentral:rRNA from 1 species
UAAACAAUGGAGAGUUUGAUCCUGGCUCAGGAUGAACGCUAGCUACAGGCUUAACACAUGCAAGUCGAGGGGCAGCAUGAACGAAGCUUGCUUUGAUUGAUGGCGACCGGCGCACGGGUGAGUAACGCGUAUCCAACCUUCCCUAUAGUAGAGAAUAGCCCGGCGAAAGUCGGAUUAAUGCUCUA